GUCUGAGGAGGCAGGAGCUGGCACCAGGGACGUGGACGUCACGCAGGGCGGAUGGGAGGACACCCCUAUGCUGGUUGUGCUGAGCUGCCGAUAUCACUGCAGCAUUUCCCAGAGGGAUUAACACUUUCUUCCCUCUCAGGCAAUGCAAACGUUAGCUGCUGGGGUCUGCCACCCAGACAUCAAAGCUCUCAAGGGCACGCCUUGGAAAGCAGGGCUUGGUGAGCACCCAGCUGAGCUGCAGGGAGCAAAGGGAUUGGAUCCAGCAGCUCACAGACAGCCCUCUGCAAAACAUGGAGAGGGGAAAAAGGCCUGCAAGGAACACACAGGCCUCUUCUCCAGGAGGAACCUCACACUGUACUUAGGACAACCAGCACUCAAGCACUCCUCCCUGAUCUAGGCAAACUGCAGAGCAGCAACACACAGGUUUUCCACAGUCCACAGGAACAGAUGUUUCCACUGACAAGUUUGCCUUGCUCAGUUAUUGUUUUUGUUGGUGCUUUCACAGGUCUCAAGUUACUGUGUUUUUGUCCUGUCAAGUGCAGUGACCCAUAUUAACCUUCUCCAUGCAAAUCAAUCACCUACUUAUUUGCCUCCACAUGCUCUGCCUUCAACAGCGGGUUUAUAAUGACGACAGUUAGACACUCAGAAACCAUAUCAUUAGGUCUUCACCUCAGAGGGCAUUGUAGCAACUGGCCUACUUUUCCUCCCUUUAUCUCUGUGCUUAAGGUUUGCCUUUCUCACAGAUAAAGUAAAGGAGAUGGAGAGGGAAAGAGAAACAACAUCUUUCCUGAAAACUGACCCAUUGCAAAGCUUUUAUGCUCAGCUGUAGAAGUAAUUUCUGAUACUCAUACCCAGGACUACAACUGCAGGCAAUUGUCAGCCUUAGUCUUGGCUACUACAUCUUAAUGAUCUCCCAGACUGUAUCAUGUUGUGGGGCUAUGGUGCCUUGCAUCUGUUGGCUGGACAUGCUUGAGCACACACGCUUUUGAGAGUAUUGUAUUUUAAAUAUGUCUUUGUCUUCAGAAAGAAAAAAAAAAAUGGCCAGCAUGGAAACAAAGCUUUAAAAAGAAAAUUUUUGGAGGCAGGAGUGUCAGAGGGCAGGGAGAAGGCUAAUGAAAUGUGUGAGGCAAAAGCAAGAAUUUUCUACUUUUUCACAGUAAUAGCUGGUCAUUUGCACUGAAGUCAGAAAAAAAUCAAAUCAAAUCAAAAUGAAUAAAGCAUUAGGUAACAGACAUUAAGGCAGAAUUACAGUGUCAGAGCAGAGUUGCCUGGAGAAUUAAAUAUAACACAAGUUAGCCAUCUGAUUGCUAUCAGGGAAGAGCACUGGUUCCUCAUAAGAUUCCUCUCUGCAUCACUGACCCAUUCAUUCAUUUGUUGCCUAAUUCAGCACCUCUACCAAUGGAAAAAGAGUCUCAUACCCGUAAACCCUUAUUCUUGUUAUUUUUGUGCACAGGCUUGCACAUGUCUGGCAAGGGUGUGGAGGCCAAAAAAAGAAAAAAAAAAAAAGCACUCAUAUCUCUCCAAAUCCAGGCACAAUGUUUCUGUGGCAGCAUGGGUGAUGUGUUGAGAGCAAGGAAGAGCAUAAAGUUGAGAAACACACAAAAAAAAAGAGAAAUAGGAAGCCAAGUUUGAUGAAAAUAUAUAAUUUUUUGACAACUGUCACCAAAGUUUUAUCAUUUUGGAAAAACAGAAGGGAGAAAAACAUGUCAGGGAACACCUCCAGGCUGGAAAAACCUAAAUAAUACAGCUAAGUAGCUCACAGAUAACAGCUUUCUUUCAUGCAGUCAGCAAAAAGUGUAGGAUUCAUCUAAAAUACAUGUUAUUCUGUAAUACAUGUAAUUCAUGAUUAAAUGAUUAAUUUCUGCAAAUGAUCUUUGUUCUCACACACAGUUUGUGGCAAAUACUUGGUACUCUAAGUUGUUUCACUCUAUUUCAUCUGGCUAAUGAACCCAAACCUUAACUGUUGUCAAGGUUUAAGCUUGGAUUGCUGGAGUGGAUUCAUUCAUUUACUCACCUCAAAAACUCAUUUCAUUUUCCCCACUCUGUUGCAAUGCAUUGGUAUAGCCCUUACACAUCUGUAGAGCAGAGCAUCGCCUCUCUUCAGAGCUGAACAGGGUUGUUUAGGAUGACCAACACCCAGCAAUUGUCAAACAAGAGGAAAACACAAGGCUCUGGGGACACUAACUAGACCAGCAGUUUGCAGCUCUAGGACAUCUCAUGGACAAUUUGAGAAACAUGGAACUGAUACUGCCCAGAUCUACCUGGCCUCAGCUCAUCAGAGGCACAAAAACAGAGCAAAAUCAUCUGCCGGAGAAGCACAAAUGUACAUGUUCCACACAGACUGUAAUAUUUCUGCAGGUGCCUUUGGAAGUAAAUUCAGCCUCUGCACUUUGUAUAGGAUCGUGAUGAAAAGCUUAAUACAAAUAACUGAAAAUAUAUGACAGGUCAUAAGAAAGGAUCGUAGAACAGCUAAAGAGAAAGUAGGGUAAGGCUUUCUACAUACUCCCCCAUAUGUUCACAUGAAGAACGGUGUACUUUCAAAUUAUGAAAUCAUUUCUUAAGCCCAGUUUAACUCAUGAAAUUCAUUACACAACGUAAGUCCAAAGAAAAGAGACCAAUUUCAUUAAAGUGACCUUCUUUGUUUUGAAAAUUACUGGAAAAAGUCGUUAUCCAAUAGCUAUACAUUUCUCCACCAUUAAAAAGCUUUGCAGGAUUCUAAACAAUAACUGAAUCACAUUGUGAAGAAAGAUAAAAAUUGCAGUUACAGUAAAACCUUAAAUUUAAACAGCCAUGAGUUUUUGGGAAUGUUAUAAGCUUUCAUCAUUCAAGGCACACAGUGACUUCUCAGCAAAUGAGCUUAUAAAGAAACUUUUUAGUGCUUCUAUCAAUAAUUCUGCUAUACUGUGCUAAUUAUUGUUCUUGUAUUUACCAACACUUAGAAGACCUUUUAACUCUUGCAGAAUGCUGUGUAUGUACAGACAUAGCUAUUACUAUAUUACUACCAUACUAUUAUGAUUAGUAUAGCUGGUUUUAAAGUCUAUGAAUUAAAACACCCCAAAAAGUCAAUUUCAAAAUAAUAAUUUUACAUUUGAAACAACACAUUUACAUUAAGAACAAAAAUAAACAAACAAACAAACAAACAAAAACUUCUCUUCCUUCAUGUUGUUCUUGGCCUGAAAGAGUUAUAGAUUAGUUACAAAAAUGAAAGUUUAUUUUCAGUUUCCUCUUCUGGGCUUGUAAUGGGUGGAUUUUACACUUUUCAAAUCAUCUAACUCCUCUUUAUUCCUGAAAGUUGCUUCUUCCUAGUUGUCAUUAUUUUCCCCAUUAGUGCUGUGCUGCAGAAGUUGCACUCCUUUGGAUAAUGAGCACUACCCAGCUGCAGUGCUGGCUCUCCUGGCACCACAAUCCACAAGGGCUUUGCAGUUAUCCACCUUGGGGAGGUUCCUACUCACAGCAUGCUGAGAUAACAGGAAAAACACUAGCCUAUAUAAUGUCAUCUUUUGGCAUCUCAGGCUAGUUAUAUCUGACACAUUUAUCCUGAACUAAUACUGUUUGUAUUAAGCCGGUACUAGUCCAGUACAUGGGAUGUAAAGAGCAGACAGAGUAAGAAGGACUUCAGGUUAAACAUAAGUUCUAUUUACAUAUUUUAAGUGAUCAGACUAAUCUGCAUACACAUCUUGAGUGUGACAGUCACUAACAGACCAUAGCAGUUCAAAUAAACCCCUUUAAAGGAGAUAUUACAUUUCUUGGAAGGAGCAGCGAAGUGGUUCUGCAGAGAUCUAUAAAGAUAACAAUAAAUGUCAUAAGGUUUUACAGUAACUUCUCAACCAUAAGGAACCAUGCAAAUGGAGCAGGUCAUACAUUCUGGCAUUCUAGCCAAGCUUCUAGCCAACCUUAUGAAUCUAAAAGCUUGUUCUUGCUAAGAAAUGUGAUAAUAAAGAAGAUGGCAAAGGACUUUAGUCUGUAUUAUAAUGCUAUUUAUACCAUUCCCUUGUUGAUAGAUUGUUUUUGUUGUUGUUUUUCUUUUCAAGAUUUGCACAUAGCUGUGUGAUGUCUUGAAAAUAUUUUUUUUUUUAAAAAGGUUAAAAAAAAUAAUAAUCACAUAUUGCCUAACAUAGUAACACAAUAUUCUUUUCAGAUGAGGAAAAAAAAAAAAAUGAAAGCUUGGCGCAGGUGCACAUAAUUUUCUGUGGUCACAGUUGUCUGAAGCCCUAGAUGAAAGUAUAGAAGAAAGUAAGUUUUUUUCCUACCUGUUUCUUAUUACAGGAAUAUAUAUAUAUAUAUAUAUAUAUAUAUAUAUAUAUUUUACAGGAACAUAUAUAUAUAUAUUUUUUUUUUCAGAGAGGAGAAUAGUAUUGCAAGCAUCUGUAUCUGCAAAACGUAUGCUACAGCCAAACAGUUCCAACCCUGACAACAUAUUAUCAUUUGCAGAUGGUUUUGGAAUAUAGCCUGAAGAAACAGUCCAUUUACAGAUAAUAGCAAAAUGGGGUAAAUAUUUGCUUCUAGGUAAACAUUCAGCUCAAAUACUAUAUUAUACAGCAAAAUACAUUAUAGAUAGUCAUAAAUCGAUCCUAAAGAGUGUAAUAAAUUCUGAAUCGCUUUUCUUUAUCUGCCAAGAGUUUUGGAAUGAUAAAAACUCAUUUGGUGAAAUGUGAACAUUCACAAAUAUCAACGUAUGCUCUCAGGAGUUAAUUUUGUCUAUAUCAUGCUGUUGAAAGUCUAAAAAUACUUAUUAGCUAUUAUAAUUUAUUUCUGAAUAUCAGGUCAGUUAGAAAAAUCUGAUCUUGUAUAUGCUAAAGUAUUUAAACAUAAAUGUCUUGAAGAAGAAGUCGGAUCCCAGAGUUUGCUUUGGCAAGUUAUGCAAUUUAUUCUGUAGUCAGGAAAGUCUUUGUGUAGAAGUACAUCACAGUCAAACAGGAAAGUGAUUUCAUUCCAUCAUGUAUUUGAUCAUGGGCAUGUGGGCAUGACUGCACAUUACAAAACUGAAUUAGCAAUUGAAACAGGCUAAUCUUACUCUAUUCUCUCUCUCUCUCCUUUUUUUUUUUUUUUUGUUANNNNNNNNNNNNNNUUUUUUUUUUUUUUAAUUAGCAGAGACCCAUGCUGGUAAUUGAAGGUCUUAAGCUUGAUGACAGGCUGGAAAGCAUUUCUAUAUACUUAGAAUAUUGAAGGCUGAGAAACACAGUAGCAUCUGUACAUGUAUCUUUUAAGAUCUAUGUACCAUUUUCAGUGACAAAGUGAAAAUUACAAUGACUGAACUUUCAUUUCAGAGAGUAGAAAGUAUACUUUGGUAAAAUCCACCUUGCAACACAUACCAAAGAAG
rnacentral:lncRNA from 1 species